CUUGAAUGAUGUAAGGAGGAAUAGAUGAAAUCAGUCUUGGGUGAAACAUAUGCUUUUUGUGACAAACAUGGGAUUUCCAAGUUGGAGAUGGAAGAGCAAUAUGUCAAUCUAAAGAAGCCACGUCAACAAACAGGCAUCACUAAUAACCAUCAUUCUGAAGUGGAUUGUUUCAAUGAUGUUAUUCAUUGGCUGCUUCAAGAACUUGAUAGCCGCUUUAAUGUGAAAAAUUCUAAGCUACUAAUGUGCUUAGCUGCUUUGAGACAAAAAUAAUCAUUCAAAGAUUUUAAUUUAGGGCAUUUGAUGGAUCUAGCCAGACAUUAUCUGGAAGACUUUGAUGAUGGAGAACUAAGGGACCUUACACGUCACCUCUGUCUUUACAUUGCCGAUGUUGGAGCAGAUGAUUGAUUCUCUAGCAUAAAUAAUAUUUGUGAGAUCUCUCAAAAAAAUGGUGGAGACAAAGAAACAUAUUAUCUAUCCUUUGGUUUAUUGGCAUGUGAAUCUUGA
rnacentral:rRNA from 1 species